rnacentral:rRNA from 1 species
UAAUACAGAGGGUGCGAGCGUUGUUCGGAAUUACUGGGCGUAAAGCGUUUGUAGGCGGUGCUGAGAGUCCUAGGUGAAAUCCCCGAGCUCAACUCGGGAACUGCCUAGGAGACCUCAGUACUAGAGUACUGAAGGGGUUACUGGAAUUCCAUGUGUAGCGGUGAAAUGCGUAGAUAUAUGGAGGAACACCUGUGGCGAAGGCGGGUAACUGGUCAGAGACUGACGCUGAGAAACGAAAGCGUGGGGAGCAAACAGG